AUUGAACGCUGGCGGCAUGCCUUACACAUGCAAGUCGAACGGCAGCAUGAUCUAGCUUGCUAGAUUGAUGGCGAGUGGCGAACGGGUGAGUAAUACAUCGGAACGUGCCCUGUAGUGGGGGAUAACUAGUCGAAAGAUUAGCUAAUACCGCAUACGACCUGAGGGUGAAAGUGGGGGACCGCAAGGCCUCAUGCUAUAUGAGCGGCCGAUGUCUGAUUAGCUAGUUGGUGAGGUAAAGGCUCACCAAGGCGACGAUCAGUAGCUGGUCUGAGAGGACGAUCAGCCACACUGGGACUGAGACACGGCCCAGACUCCUACGGGAGGCAGCAGUGGGGAAUUUUGGACAAUGGGCGAAAGCCUGAUCCAGCAAUGCCGCGUGUGUGAAGAAGGCCUUCGGGUUGUAAAGCACUUUUGUCCGGAAAGAAAUGGCUCUGGUUAAUACCUGGGGUCGAUGACGGUACCGGAAGAAUAAGGACCGGCUAACUACGUG
rnacentral:rRNA from 1 species